ensembl:ncRNA C14F11.17 ncRNA
CAAUGUGCGCGCAAAAACAGUGUGAAGAGAGAUUGAGUGAGGUAGAGGCAAAAAGCGGUCGACAGCUGGUCCGUCUUCACUCGAUCCGACCGCGGUUCGACCAACUGGAGCGGUGAAGACGUUUUUCGAGAGCGCCUCUCUCUCUCUGCUCAAUGAGCACAACGCAAUUAUCGAUUCGUAGUGUAAUAAAGGGACGGAAGGAACAGGGAACACAGAGACAUGUUAUAAUGAUUGAUGUUUUUGUCUAGUUGAUUUAUUCUAUUUUUGACU